rnacentral:rRNA from 1 species
UACGAAGGGGGCUAGCGUUGCUCGGAAUCACUGGGCGUAAAGGGUGCGUAGGCGGUUCUUUAAGUCAGGGGUGAAAUCCUGGAGCUCAACUCCAGAACUGCCUUUGAUACUGAAGAUCUUGAGUUCGGGAGAGGUGAGUGGAACUGCGAGUGUAGAGGUGAAAUUCGUAGAUAUUCGCAAGAACACCAGUGGCGAAGGCGGCUCACUGGCCCGAUACUGACGCUGAGACGCGAAAGCGUGGGGAGCAAACAGG